rnacentral:tRNA from 2 species
GUCCCCAUCAUCUAGCGGCCUAGGAUACCGGGUUUUCAUCCCGGCGGCAGGGGUUCAAAUCCCCUUGGGGACGCCA